CCGCCACGUCCUCCGAUGG
rnacentral:siRNA from 1 species